UACGUAGGCAGCGAGCGUUGUUCGGAGUUACUGGGCGUAAAGCGUGCGUAGGCGGUGUCUUAAGUUUGUUGUGAAAUCUCCCGGCUUAACCGGGAGGGUGCGGCGAAUACUGAGAUGCUGGAGUGCCGGAGAGGUAAGCGGAAUUCCUGGUGUAGCGGUGAAAUGCGUAGAUAUCAGGAGGAACGCCUGCGGUGUAGACGGCUUACUGGACGGUAACUGACGCUGAGGCACGAAAGCGUGGGUAGCAAACAGG
rnacentral:rRNA from 1 species